rnacentral:rRNA from 1 species
AUUGAACGCUGGCGGAAGGCUUAACACAUGCCAGUCGAACGAGUGGCGGACGGGUGAGUAAUGCUUGGGCAUCUAGCUUAUGGAGUGGGAUAAUUACGGGGAACUGUAGCUAAUACCGCGUACCAUAGGAUGAGCCCAAGGGGGAUUAGGUAGUUGGUGAGGUAAAGGCUGACCAAGCCCACGAUCUCUAGCUGGUCUGAUAGGAUGACCAGCCACACGGGCACUGAGACACGGUCCAUACUCCUACGGGAGGCAGCAGUGUGGAAUAUUGCGCAAUGGGGGCAACCUGACACAGCCAUGCCGCGUGAAUUAAGAAGGCCUUCGGGUUGUAGAGUUCUUUCGGUAGCGAGGCGUUAACUACAGAAGAAGCACCGGCUAACGCCGUGCCAGCAGCCGCGGUAAUUC